rnacentral:rRNA from 1 species
AGCAGUAGCCACGGGAAUACGAAGGGGGCUAGCGUUGUUCGGAUUUACUGGGCGUAAAGCGCACGUAGGCGGACAUUUAAGUCAGGGGUGAAAUCCCAGAGCUCAACUCUGGAACUGCCUUUGAUACUGGGUGUCUGGAGUAUGGAAGAGGUAAGUGGAAUUCCGAGUGUAGAGGUGAAAUUCGUAGAUAUUCGGAGGAACACCAGUGGCGAAGGCGGCUUACUGGUCCAUUACUGACGCUGAGGUGCGAAAGCGUGGGGAGCAAACAGGAUUAGAUACCCCCGUAGUCCCUGUCUCUUAUAC